rnacentral:tRNA from 1 species
GCCAGCUUAGCUCAGUUGGUAGAGCAAUUGACUUGUAAUCAGUAGGUCGUCGGUUCGACUCCGACAGCUGGCU